CUGAGCCAGGUCCCGACAGCACCCGGCCACGCGCUCAGCUCUCCCGCGACGGUUGAGUACGUUUAAGUAAUCAUUCCUAUCCCGGCGGUUCCAUGCUCAGUUCUUGGCCCGGGCACAGGGGAAGCGGCAACAGGUCCUCGCGGACAGCCUCGGCUUCCCUCACCCGCAUUCCGCAGCGUGCGUGGGUGCGGCUGCCCCGCGGUCUGCACCCGUUCCCGACCCACAGGCUGGCCAGCGGGGCGGACUCUCGGGAAUCCACCCCGGUGGUCUCCGGAGCCAGGUUUUAAAUAAUUCAUGAGCUGGGCCCCGCGAGCGGGGCAGUGAAGGGAGAGGUCUGCGGCAGCGGUGACGAAAGCCGGAGAUGGAGCAGGACCCCGGCGCGUGAGAUGUUGCCUUGAGUGAAUGACUCCAUUGAAGGAAGCUCUUCUGCGUCCCUUGCUGCAAGCCAGCCCUGCCAGGAAGAAGACUCAGCAGGUCCAGGACCCACUAGACCACUUCUGCACAGGAAGGACCUAUCUUCCCUAAGGCUUCCAGAAGCUACCUCAUGUUCAGGGAAUCUUGCUAGCUAUGGCCCUCCUGUUUGGUGUACUGCUGCUGCUGGGGCUUUGUGGGAAUAUCAUCUCAGAAAACACUUCUGAGGCAUUGGAUUAUGAAUUGCCUACAUCCAAAUAUGAGACCGAAGACACCUACAGUCCCGGGCCCAUUAGUGUUCUCUUCCAAAUGGUGCGCAUAUUCAUCUACAUAGUGCAGCCCGGAGAGUUCCCUGAAGACUCCAUCAGAAAAUUUAUACGGAACAAAUUUGAAGUCUCAGCUGUUUAUGAUGAGAUCGCCCACUAUGAGAUCGGCGUUAUCCUGUGCGUUAUCCUGGGAGUGUUAUUUAUCAUUCUGCUACCUGUGGUGGGUUGUAUCUUUGCCAUAUGUCGUUGCUGUAACAAAUGUGGUGGGAAAAUGCACCAGCGUCCGAAGGAGAAUGCGCCCUUCCAGAGGAGGUGCCUUGCAAUCUCCCUCCUGGUGAUUUGCGUGCUCGUAAGCAUUGGAAUCAUCUACGGCUUCGCAGCCAACCACCAUGUGAGACACCGCAUCAGAAAGUCUCAGAAGCUGAUAGACAGCAACUUGAAAGACCUGCGAACCCUCGUGAAUGAAGCGCCACAGCAAAUUGACUAUAUCGUGGACCAGUUCAACACCACCAAAGAGAAGGCCUUCUUAGAUCUGGACAAUAUUCAUUCGUUGCUGGGAGGUGGAAUUCUCGAGAGACUAAAGCCUAAGGUGAUCCCUGUUCUUGAUGAGAUCCAGGUCAUGGCGAAAGCAAUUAAAGAAACCAAGGUGGCCCUGGAGAACAUGAACCAGAAUUUUAAGAGCCUGAGGGACGGAAGCCAACAGCUCAGCAACAGCCUCUCUGCUGUGAAACAAAACAUGCAGAAUUCUCUGCAAGGCCCUGAGUGCCUUCUUCCACAAGUGAGUGACAUCUGCAAGAACAUUGAGUCGUCUCUGAGCCAGCUGGAGGGCAACCCCGAAUUGAGCAAGCUCCCAUCUAUGGACACAGAACUUCAAAAUAUUAAUAAUGUUCUCAGAAAUGAUUUGGAUGCCAUGGUCCAAAAGGGCUACCAAUCCCUUAAUGACAUUCCUAAGAGGGUGCAAGUCCAAACCACGAACAUCGUAGCAGAAAUCAAAAAGCUCUUAAAUACCGUGGGUUCCAACGUCAAGGAUGCAACCAAAGAUAUUCCUAUUCAGAAGUCCUUGUCAGAGUUCAAUAGUCACAUGGAUGAGAUUGAAAAAGAAAUCAAACAGAAUUUGCAUCGGGCAGAAGAAGUUGACUCCUACUGGUGGCUGUGUAGCCUGAUUUCCUGCUUUCUGCUGUUACUCAUCGUGAUUUUUUUUUACCUGGGCUUGCUGUGUGGCGUCUACGGCUAUGACAAGCACGCUACCCCAACCACCAGAGGCUUCGUAUCCAACACGGGAGGCAUCUUCCUCAUGGUUGGAGUUGGAUUCUGUUUCCUCUUUUGCUGGAUAGUGAUGAUCCUUGUGGUUCUUUCUUUUGUUCCUGGUGUGAAUAUGGAAAAACUGAUCUGUGAACCUUAUGCAAAUGGGAAGAUAUUCCAGAUUUUGGACACCCCCUACUUACUAAACAAGGAAUGGAAAUACUACAUCUCUGGCAUGGUUCUUAAAAAACCAGAUAUUGAGCUCACUUUUGAACAAAUUUACAGCAAUUGCAAAAACAACAGAGGAAUUUAUUCCACACUUCAACUCGAGAACCGCUUCAAUAUCAGCGAGAGUCUCAACAUUCACAAGCAUACUGACAACAUAAACAAUCAACUUGAACGUCUGGAUAUAAAACUUGGUGGCAUUGUUCUUCUGAAUGAGGAAGGAAAAAACAACCUCAAGGAAUUCUCUAAUAGUGGGAUAGACAAUAUAGAUUAUGACACCCUCUUGGCUCAGAGUAAAACCUCUCCUGGGAAAGUGAAUCUUUUAUCAUUUUCAUAUGAUCUGGAUACAAAAGCAGACCGUUUGCCCCCCGGACAAUUAAAGCAGUCCAUGAAGUCAGAAGCGCAAACUAUUAGAAAAAUUCACCAGGAUCAAGUCCUUCCCAUGGAGAAGACACAGGAUGAUGUACAAAAAAAUAUCAAGAUACUUCAACACACAAGUGGGGGACUAAAGGAGAAAGUGACCAAGAUUCUGCAAUCUUUGGAUUCUGUUCAGAUCUUCAUAACAAACGAUAUUUCCUCCGUUAUUGUGGAAGAAACGAAGAAAUUUGCGAAAAAAAUCUUACGAUAUUUUGAACACUACCUAGAGUGGGUGGAGCUGGCUGUCACUGAGAAGAUGGUGCCCUGCAAGCCUGUGGCCACCGCCAUGGAUUCUGCUUUUAAAGUGAUUCUGUGUGGCUUCAUUGUGGACCCUCUGAAUUUGUUUUGGUUUGGCAUAGGGAAAGCUACUUUUCUUUUACUACCGGCUCUAAUCAUCGCUGUGAAGCUGGCCAAGCACUACCGCCGCAUGGAAUCAGAGGAUGUAUAUGAAGAGUAAGCAUGAGCUUCCUUGAAGUAUGGAAAAUGGUUAUCAUAAAGCUCAUCCAUAUGGUAUUCACAAUGCUGUUAUGCCAAGCUCAUUACAAUAUUAUUUCUGAGGUUGAAAUCGCUUGAGCAUCAAGACACACAAUGUAGAAGGAAUGAGACUGUUGGUAAAUCUGGGUCUUCGAGAACUUUCCAAAUUCAGGAGGAGCUCUGGUGGCAACACAGUGACUCAAGGGGACUUCUUGAUCUCUGGAUAGAGCUUUGUUAGGAAUGAACACAGUCACGUUCCUAGUCCAUGUGUCCAUCACUAUUCAAGGAUAAUCUUCUCUCCUGUUUAUUAUUUUUUUAAUACUGAAUUUCUAUUUAGAUACCAUACCAUAUGGGUUUGGGCACAUUUCUGGGUCAAACAGUCCAUCCAAUAUUAAUACUGAGAUUCUAAUUUACUCGCAUAGGUAGAGUGUGCUGGACACAUACAGUUUACAGAAAAUGUGUAUUUUGUGUAUAGUAGAUUGUAUAUACACCUUUGCCACAGCUAGGGUUUUUUUUAAACAAAUGAGUAUUGUAAGGUUUUUCUUCUAAAUGAGCUUACUAUCGGGUCAGUGUUGAUUUAUUGGUGCUGUUGAAAAUAAUCCAUUUUCACUAAAAGUAUGUGAAACCUACAGCAUGUCCUUCACCUAGGAUUUGCAUCCACUUUGUCAAUGAAUGGUCACGGUGUUUGGGAACAGAAUACAAAAGCAGUCCCAGAGUACCCCCACUCUAUUACAGUAACAAGUUCAAAACAGAGAGAUCUUGAGAGAAGGAAUGCUGUUUGGCAGAGGGUGGAGAUGUUUGAACAGAUGCCAAGUGCAGUGUACACUUAAUCUUCUGAUUCAGGAUGAGAAUCAUCUGGAUGUCAUCUGAUUAUUGUGAGAGGGGACUCUGAAGCGAAACAGGGGAAGACCCUGUCAUGGUUCUUAGAUUUGGGGUGUCCAACAUGAAUAAAGCCUUCAUGCUUGGUCCUUAGAAAUAUAUGAAAGCAUGAGUCAGUAUCUGUUUGUUUUGGGUUACUCACAUUGUCUUUGCCUUUUUCAAAAGUGAUGGGCAAUGAAAUACUGUCAAACCAAAGUAGCAGUGAUGUCAUGCAUGACAUUCAAGAUGUGGGCUUUGUACCAGGUCUUUUGAGUGAAGAUCACUGUCCUGAUUUAUUUCAAUAAAAGGGGGCUUGGAAA